UGGAUCUUUUUCUGCUGUCAAGAUUUGCUCUGAUGGGAUAUGGGUAUAACUGUCCCUCUGACCUGAGACUGCCACAGUGACUUGCAAGCAACUCACUGCACUUAGGCACUGGACUACCUGAAUUUCUAAUUCAAUGAUGGAAGGCUGCUGGGUGUAGUCAAGUACUUGACUUGUCGGUGCGUGUGUCAAGAUGGGAUUGACCACCCCAGUUCAAGAGCUGUGUACAGUCAUGUUUCAAUUUAGCAAAAUCUUGUCUAGGGUAGUCCUAGUGAGGAGUC
rnacentral:lncRNA from 1 species